GACGUAGGGGGCAAGCGUUGUCCGGAAUUAUUGGGCGUAAAGCGCUCGUAGGCGGAUCGGUAAGUCUGUGAAGAAAGACCCGGGCUCAACUCGGGGAACGGCAUAGAUACUGCUGAUCUUGAGACAGUCAGAGGAUGAUGGAAUUCCAGGUGUAGCGGUGAAAUGCGUAGAGAUAGGGAGGAACAUCAAGAACGGCGAAGGCAGUUAACUAGUCUGUUACUGACAUUGAGGCACGAAAGCGUAGGGAGCAAAACGG
rnacentral:rRNA from 1 species